GCCAGCAUGGCGUUGUGGUUUGAGUGCUGGGCUACAACUCUAGGGACCAGGGUUCGAUUCUCUGCUUGGCC